rnacentral:rRNA from 1 species
GAUGAACGCUGGCGGCGUGCUUAACACAUGCAAGUCGAACGGUGAAGGCGGAGCUUGCUCUGCUGGAUCAGUGGCGGACGGGUGAGUAACACGUGAGCAAUCUGCCCCUGACUCUGGGAUAAGCGCUGGAAACGGCGUCUAAUACUGGAUACGAGCUGCGAAGGCAUCUUCAGCAGCUGGAAAGAAUUUCGGUCAGGGAUGAGCUCGCGGCCUAUCAGCUUGUUGGUGAGGUAAUGGCUCACCAAGGCGUCGACGGGUAGCCGGCCUGAGAGGGUGACCGGCCACACUGGGACUGAGACACGGCCCAGACUCCUACGGGAGGCAGCAGUGGGGAAUAUUGCACAAUGGGCGAAAGCCUGAUGCAGCAACGCCGCGUGAGGGACGACGGCCUUCGGGUUGUAAACCUCUUUUAGCAGGGAAGAAGCGAAAGUGACGGUACCUGCAGAAAAAGCGCCGGCUAACUACGU